rnacentral:rRNA from 1 species
UACGGAGGGUGCGAGCGUUACCCGGAAUCACUGGGCGUAAAGCGCACGUAGGCGGCUGUUCAAGUCAGAGGUGAAAGCCCGGGGCUCAACCCCGGAACUGCCUUUGAAACUAGACAGCUCGAAUCAUGGAGAGGCGAGUGGAAUUCCGAGUGUAGAGGUGAAAUUCGUAGAUAUUCGGAAGAACACCAGUGGCGAAGGCGGCUCGCUGGACAUGUAUUGACGCUGAGGUGCGAAAGCGUGGGGAGCAAACAGG